UACGGAGGGUGCAAGCGUUAUCCGGAUUCACUGGGUUUAAAGGGUGCGUAGGUGGCUUUGUAAGUCAGUGGUGAAAUCUUAGAGCUUAACUCUAAAACUGCCAUUGAUACUGCUUAGCUUGAAUCACGUCGAGGUGGAUGGAAUAUUACAAGUAGCGGUGAAAUGCAUAGAUAUUGUCAAGAACACCAAUUGCGAAGGCAGCUUACUAAAUUAUAACUGACGCUGAGGCACGAAAGUGUGGGUAUCAAACAGG
rnacentral:rRNA from 1 species